AUGGUCAGCUUAAAGACACCUGCUGUCAAGACUUUUCAAGAAGGCAUAUUUAUUAACUUAAAUUUACUACUCCUGAUUGUUUUUGGAUACAUCGUCAUUCCUCCUUUCUUCCUUGAGGGGGAAACUUUUAUAGCAGUGCCAUAUAGGAGGGCAUGUCAGAAGAGCACAAAUAAUCCUGAUGACCAAAGAGGUGAAGAUGUCUAUGAUAAUCCAUUUCCCCAAUCUCACAGCAACCCCAAAUAUUAUUGAAUUAGUUGAUAGAGGAAAAAAAAAUGCCUGUGUUGUAUAGACUUGAUGUUGUUUCUCUGAAUACAUGAGAAUAUGUGAGAAUAUUCCACAUGAAUGGACCAUGAUAUUUCCAUGCCUGCCAGAUACAAUUGUAAGGAAAGUGGCCUCCAAAAUUUUAUUUCAAUUUCUGUCAUUGUUUCCUCUCUAUUCCUUGGAUAGUUUUCUAUUUUUUAUACCAUGUACUUUGUUUAGGAAGUAAAGCCCUUCUGCUACAAAAGCUGCAGAGGUCCGUACUGGGGAAUGUUGCACUGGCUGAAAGUGAACAUAUAGUGAACAUAUAGUAACAGGGCAUGAGAGAGAUUCCUAAAUUCUGAAAUAAGUGAUGAGAACUCAGAAAAACAGAGACACACCACUCAGAUUAGCACCAAAUUAAACCAAUGUAAAUCUCACUUUUCAAAAUAUAAAUGCAAGAAAUUCAAAGAGAAGGGCAAAUUAGAUCAACUCGCUGACUGAGCCACACUUCUCAAGCAUCUGCCUUACUUCUGGGAGUUCAUUAUCUAUCUCAGAUGUGGAAGAGCUGUAGACAAAGACAACUGCAUGGCCAGUAGAGAAAAUUCCUCUUCUAUUUUUUUAUAGUGAUUUUAGUUAGAAGAAGAUACUCAUUGUUGGUCCUCUUGUAAGAGACAUCUAUGCCAUCCACUGAAAUCAGUCUCCAAUCUCUGGAAUAUAGCUAGAAUUUUUUCAGCCUUCUUUGUAGUUACAUAUGGCUAUUUGGGAUUCUCUCUAAUGGAAUGUGUUUGGUAGUGAUGAAACCAAUUUCUGACACAUUAAAAUCUAAUAUUUAGCUCCUUCAUUUCUUUCCCCAUCUACCAGAUGCAUGCAAAUAAUUAUGUGUUCUUAAGGGAUGACAUAGCCACAAAAUAUAAGAUGCUUUGGUUGCCAAAUCACCACAUGGAGGAAAGCCAUGCCUCUGUCUUAACCACUCCACUGAUUGUAUGGUUAAAAAAUAAGGUCCUAUUAUAUUGAACCACUAAAAUAUUGGGAUGCAAAGAGGAAAAAAAGAGAGAGAGAGAGACAAAUCCAAAAAGAGGCUUAAUUACACAGAAUAAACUGAUGGUUACCAGAGGGGAGGUGUGUGAG
rnacentral:lncRNA from 1 species